GGGAGACAGAGAAGAUGGGGGACCCCAGGCAGCAGGGGGAGACUCCCUGUGGAGAGGAGGGAAGGUUUCCUCAAGCUGUGACAAACCGGGAAGUAGGGGGCAGGCCAGCAGUCUCCCGGGAGCAGAACCAGCGAGGAUGAGCAUGAGGUCCCCUCUGCGGAGCGCAGCCACACUCCCUCCUGCCAGGUGAUCCCAACCCAUUCUUUAAAGGCAGCUGUCCUUUGGUUCAAUGGACUGGGACCAACAGGCUAUAGAUUUUCGAAGAUUGUACUUUAUUUGAAAAACACCUCAAAGAUGCUUUCUCCAUUACACAACAAGAAGUUUCACCGCACACUACGCAUCGCAAAAUGUAUAGUUUAACAGCCUGUCAAAGAAUGUGUAGCAUUAGUUUUAGCAAAAAUUCAUCUUUCACAUUGAUGAACAUUAAGUUGGCACAGCUCAGUAUGGGUCCCGCUAACACGGGCAGCUAACGUGGACCGUCUGAUCUGCAAGGAUUUUGC
rnacentral:lncRNA from 1 species